rnacentral:rRNA from 1 species
UACGUAGGGUGCGAGCGUUGUCCGGAUUUAUUGGGCGUAAAGAGCGUGUAGGCGGCCAGGUAGGUCAGCUGUGAAAACUCGAGGCUCAACCCCGAGACGUCGGUGGAAACCACCUUGCUAGAGUCCGGAAGAGGAGAGUGGAAUUCCUGGUGUAGCGGUGAAAUGCGCAGAUAUCAGGAGGAACACCAAUGGCGAAGGCAGCUCGCUGGAACGUAACUGACGCUGAGACGCGAAAGCGUGGGGAGCAAACAGG